UGGUUUUAGCUCAGUGGUUAGAGCACCCACUACCUACGUACGAAGUCAUGGGUUCGAGUCACCAUGAGGGCAG
rnacentral:tRNA from 1 species